rnacentral:rRNA from 1 species
CAGCCGUAAACAAUGUGCGUUAGGUGUGUCGGUAACCACGCGUUACUGAUGCGCCGAAGAGAAAUCGUGAAACGCACCACCCGGGAAGUACGGUCGCAAGGCUGAAACUUAAAGGAAUUGGCGGGGGAGCACCACAACAGGUGGAGCCUGCGGUUUAAUUGGAUUCAACGCCGGACAUCUCACCGGAUAAGACAGCUGAAUGAUUGUCAAUCUGAAGGUUUUACAUGACUAGCUGAGAGGAGGUGCAUGGCGUCAGUGACU